UACGGAGGGUGCAAGCGUUAUCCGGAUUCACUGGGUUUAAAGGGUGCGUAGGUGGGUUGAUAAGUCAGUGGUGAAAUCCCCGAGCUUAACUUGGGAACUGCCAUUGAUACUAUUGAUCUUGAAUACCGUGGAGGUCAGCGGAAUAUGUCAUGUAGCGGUGAAAUGCUUAGAUAUGACAUAGAACACCAAUUGCGAAGGCAGCUGGCUACGCGAAUAUUGACACUGAUGCACGGAAGCGUGGGGAUCAAACAGG
rnacentral:rRNA from 1 species